AGCAGCCGCGGUAAUUCCAGCUCCAAUAGCGUAUAUUAAAGUUGUUGCAGUUAAAAAGCUCGUAGUUGAAUUUCGAGAUCAGUACGCUGGUCGUGCCUUCGGUAUGCACUGGUGUCACUGGUUUCUCCCUUCUGAAGAACCGUCAUGUCAUUAAGUUGGUGUGGCGGGGAAUCAGGACUGUUACUUUGAAAAAAUUAGAGUGUUUAAAGCAGGCUCGCGCUUGAAUACAUUAGCAUGAAAUAAUGAAAUAGGACGUUUGACCCUAUUUUGUUGGUUUCUAGGAUCGACGUAAUGAUUAAUAGGGAUAGUUGGGGGCAUUAGUAUUCAAUUGUCAGAGGUGAAACUCUUGGAUUUAUUGAAGACUAACUACUGCGAAAGCAUUUGCCAAGGAUGUUUUCAUUAAUCAAGAACGAAAGUUAGGGGAUCGAAGACGAUCAGAUACCGUCGUAGUCUUAACCAUAAACUAUGCCGACUAGGGAUCGGAUGAUGUUAAUUUUUUAAUGACUCA
rnacentral:rRNA from 1 species